GCAAACUUGGUCAUUUAGAGGAAGUAAAAGUCGUAACAAGGUUUCCGUAGGUGAACCUGCGGAAGGAUCAUUACAAAUCCAACGUCUCUCACGAGACCUCGUUGAAAUGUUGUACCCCUCACAAGACAGUGCUGCUGCUACUUGAUUAGUGGUAGUGGUGCUGUCUUUCUCAACAACCUAGCAUGACUGUUGCAGUAUAAGUAGUUGAUGAUGGGCGAGCGUGUGUUCUCUUGACAAAGAAAGAACACACACAACGCACACAAACCAAACACAAACACACAACUUAUAACAAUGGAUCUCUAGGCUCUUGCAUCGAUGAAGAACGCAGC
rnacentral:misc_RNA from 1 species